ensembl:lncRNA
AAAAAAAGACCCAAUAUUGAUUAUGGGACAUCAAGGAGUGCCAACAAAGAAGAUGGUCAAAGAACCCCGCUGAUCCUUCACAACUGGACUACCAACGAAAUCUGCUAGAGGGGGUACUCAAACUGGUGCCGUGGCACUGCUAGCCGUGGGCCGCUAACGUUAGCUGUCAAGAGCACACCGGACUGUUAGCUUAAGAGGCCCAUCGGACAAAUUCUUUGGCCACUACACCUAUUUUGCCAAUUUGCCUGGUUUACCACAUGGAGCCCUGCUGAUCCGUCUGCCGACAUAUUCAGUACAAGGGGGCCACAACAGACUUUCUUCCGUUGCAACGUCCUUCUAAGGCCCUUCUGCUAGCUGCUAUCCCCGGCCCUCUACCUGCCUGAAGCCACUCAAUGGACUCCCAUGAUUACUCGGCUACGCAUGCCUCUCCCUAACACCAAUAUGGCUUGUCUAUUACUGUUUUGCACACUCUGCCAACCCGGAUGUCCUAGCCGUGUCUGAAUCCUGGCUAAGGAAGACUACCAAAAACCUUGAAAUGUCCAUCCCUAACUACAACAAUUUUCGACAAGAUAGAACUGCCAAAGGGGGUGGAGUUAGCCUGCAGAGUUCUGUCUUACUAUCCAGAUCUCAGCAAUCACUGCCUCAUUGCCUGCAUCCAUAAUGGGUCCGCUGUUACGGUAUUCGUCGUCUGAAAAAGAGGAAUCAUCGGACCAAAGCACAGCGUGG